GCCUUAAUAGGAAAAAAGGUUAGGAUUAUUUUACAGACAUUACACUUUUAUAUAUUUAAUAGUGGAAUCAUAUAAAUGUAGGGCUGGAAAGGACCUCAAGAGAUCAUCUACUCCAACCCCUGAUGCUGUGGCGGGAUUAAGUAUACCUACCAAUAGGUGUUUGUCUAACCAGUUUUUAAAAACUUCCAGUGAUAGGAAUUCCAUAACCUCCCUGUACGUUCCAGUGCUUAAUCAUUAUAGUUAGAAAGUAUUUCUUAAAAUCAAAUCUGAAUCUCCCUUGCUGCAAACUAAGCUGAUUACUGCUUGUCCUAACCAUUGGUGGACAUGGAGAAAUUGAUCAGCACCCUCUUUAUAACAACCAUUUGUAUAUUUGAAGACCUGUCUCCCACCUUGCCCACAGUAUUCUCUGCUCUAGACUAAACAUGCCCAAUUCUUUCUGAGGUUCUUUAUAUUUUCUCUUAUUUUUGUUGCUCUCCUCUAGAUUCUUUACAAUUUGUUCACAUCUUUCUUAAAGUGUGCUGCCCAGAACUGGACACAGUACUCCACCUGAGGCCUCACCAGUGCCAAGCAGAGCUGAACAAUUAUCUUGUGUGUCUUACAUAUAACCCCCCCGUUAAUACAUUCCAGAAUGACAUUUGCCUUUUUUGCAGCAGCACCACACUGUUGACUUGCAUUCAAUUUGUGACCCACGAUAACCCGCAGAUCCUUUUCUGCAGCACUACUGCUUAGCCAGUUAUUUCCCAUUUUGUAUUUGUACAAAGCUGAAUAGAGCUACACUAGACAGUUAACUCCUCACUUGGUCAUUCUGGCCUCACCACCGGACAGAAGAGUUUGGCAUAGGACAGGGGUAGGCAAACUUUUUGGCCUGAGGGCCACAUCUGGGUAUGGAAAUUGUAUGGCGAGCCAUGAAUGCUCAGUGAGGGGGACUUUAUGGGGUGUAGCAUGGGGGAGCUCUAUAAAGGAUGUUACCGAAGUUGGGGGAGGAUGGACUCAUGGGGUCGGAGGGGGGAGGGGUGUCCUACAGGGGUGGUACCAGGGACUCCUAGGGGACCUGCUAGCAGUGACACCAAGGCAGCUGUACCAGGCACUGCCAUGGGCAGAGGCACCCUAGCUGAGAUGGGUGUGGCUCCUGGGUGGUUUUGAGGCUCUCGAUGGAGGGGCCUUAGGAGACUGGGAGGGGAUUGGGCACUCUGCCAUGGAGAGGGCGGGUGGGUGAGUGUCACCACAUAGGGGCGGGGUUCUGAUCCUGGAAACAGCGUAGUGAAGUCGUGCCUGCGCAGUGUGGUUCUACAUGUGCCAGAAGAUGCUGGAAUUGUGAUCCAGGGCUGGGUACUGCCAGGAGGGCAGAGUAGGGCAAAACCCUGGCACCAUUCCCCAGCUAGAACACUGGAGCAGGGGAAGCCCCUGAACACGCUCCCUGCUGGGAGUGCCGGCCGGGCGGAGCAGGGCAAGCCCCCGAUGGGAGCUCAACAGCAAGAUAAAAAUGUCUGAUGGGCAAGAAGUGGCCCUCGGACCAUAGUUUGCCCACCCCGCAUAGGAUAAGGCCAGUGCUCAUCUAUGUCAAGAUACUGGUUAUAAUCCACGGGCUAAAGUAGAGUCUGGAUCUGCUAGGCAGAUACUUAGGGGCCUAAGACUCACAGAAAAGAAGAGUUCCUUUUGUUCUUCCUACACAAAGUCCAUUUAAUUGCAGCUUCAAAGAGGAUUUGGUUAGUAGUGUUAGUACAGUCUAAUAGUUUUAGUAAAUGUCUAACAAAUGUAUAGAACAGGAUAGGGCCACUUAUAACCAGAUGAUAGAAAUAGCACAGUGGUUAAAGGACAAUUCUGGAGGAGGACAUUUUUAGAAGCAGGGCCAGAAGCAAAGGAAUUAACUUGAAAAAAAAUCUAUUCCCAGACAAAUAUUGAGUGAAAUAUUUUUUAUAUCAUACUCUAGCCUAAAUUAUGCUUAGGAAUUAAGGAACUCUUUGGUUCCUGCUCAUCAAGAAAUUGAAGGACAAUGUUCUUGCAAGCAAAAAGAAAUCAACUGGUCUUUGCACAAGACCAUCUACUGUUGCAGCAAAAACCCCAAAACCUUUGAAUGCUAGGGUAGUUUGUGCAUGCCUCAUGCUAGAAGCACAACAGGAACACAGCCAAAAGAAAUCUUCAGAGAAAUCAAAUUACAGCCCCCAGGUUCUGCUGCAACAGCCAUAAACAUCAGUAGCCUACGCAGUUCUUCUCGGAUGUUUGGCACUAGUAAUCUUAAGUAAAGCUGCGAUGCCUCCAGG